GAUGAAGAACGUAGCGAAAUGCGAUAAGUAAUGCGAAUUGCAGAAUUCAGUGAAUCAUCGAAUCUUUGAACGCACAUUGCGCCCUUUGGUAUUCCUUAGGGCAUGCCUGUUCGAGCGUCAUUUAAACCUUCAAGCCCUGCUUGGUGUUGGGUGCCUGUCCCGCCCCCGCGCGUGGACUCACCUCAAAUCCAUUGGCGGCCCCCGCAAGGCCACGAGCGCAGCAGAAACGCAAACUCGUGUGCCCGGCGGGCGGCUCCCAGAAGCUACACCCACCAUUUUGACCUCGGAUCAGGUAGGGAUACCCGCUGAACUUAAGCAUAUCAAUAAGCGGAGGA
rnacentral:misc_RNA from 1 species